rnacentral:misc_RNA from 1 species
CAUGAAUUUUGUUCAACUCUCUGUACAAGUGGAUAGUUGCAUAGUAUUAAUGUCUGACAGUUAUCCACACAGCCUAAUUGGAAUGAUCUUUUUUCAGCCUUGGUGUAGAGAUUUUCUUUGUUUUCUUGAAAAUUUUGAUAAUCUCAUAAUCUUAUGAUUUGGUCCCGUACUCAGAAUUCAUUCAACCUUUUGAUGUGUGAGGCU